rnacentral:rRNA from 1 species
UUGCCUCGGCGGAUCAGCCCGCUCCCGGUAAAACGGGACGGCCCGCCAGAGGACCCCUAAACUCUGUUUCUAUAUGUAACUUCUGAGUAAAACCAUAAAUAAAUCAAAACUUUCAACAACGGAUCUCUUGGUUCUGGCAUCGAUGAAGAACGCAGCAAAAUGCGAUAAGUAAUGUGAAUUGCAGAAUUCAGUGAAUCAUCGAAUCUUUGAACGCACAUUGCGCCCGCCAGUAUUCUGGCGGGCAUGCCUGUUCGAGCGUCAUUUCAACCCUCAAGCACAGCUUGGUGUUGGGACUCGCGUUAAUUCGCGUUCCCCAAAUUGAUUGGCGGUCACGUCGAGCUUCCAUAGCGUAGUAGUAAAACCCUCGUUACUGGUAAUCGUCGCGGCCACGCCGUUAAACCCCAACUUCUGAAUGUUGACCUCGGAUCAGGUAGGAAUACCCGCUGAACUUAAGCAUAUCAAUAAGCGGAGGAA